rnacentral:rRNA from 1 species
UUCUAUGGCCAUGCCACCCUGAACAAGCCCGAUCCUGUCUGAUCUCAGAAGCUAAGCAGGGUCGGGCCUGGUUAGUACUUGGAUGGGAGACUGCCUAGGAAGACCAGGUGCUGUAGGCA